AACUCAAACGGACAAACCCCUCGAAAACCCUCUCAUAUUCAUCCCCGCCCCGCCGCCGCCUCCACGCCCUCUUUGCCGAAACCCUAACCCUACUCGCCGUGGCCGCCCUCCCCCCGGCGACGCCGCCAUGUCGAACCCGAAGGGCUCCAAGAUGCUCCAGUUCGUCAACUACCGCAUGCGGGUGACGAUCCAGGACGGCCGCCAGCUCGUUGGCAAGUUCAUGGCGUUCGACCGCCACAUGAACCUCGUCCUCGGCGACUGCGAGGAGUUCCGCCGCCUCCCGCCCUCCAAGUCCUCCAAGACCACCGGCGACCGCGAGGAGCGCCGCACGCUCGGGCUUCUCCUCCUCCGCGGCGAGGAGGUCGUCUCCAUGACCGUCGAGGGCCCGCCGCCGCCUGACGAGUCGCGCGCCAAGGCCGCCGCGGCUGGGGGUGCCCUCGCCGGCCCGGGUGUCGGCCGCGCCGCUGGACGCGGUGUUCCCUCUGGCCCGCUCCUCCAGGCCGCUCCGGGCCUCGCCGGCCCUGUUCGGGGCGUGGGUGGACCCGCCCCCGGCAUGAUGCAGCCCCAGAUCUCGCGGCCGCCGAUGCCCAACCUGUCGGCGCCGCCGGUGGCGUACCCGCAGGUUGUGCGACCGCCGCAGGGGAUGCCUCCUCCGCCAAUGCGGCCUGGAAUGCCGCCGCAGAUGCCGAUGCCGUUCCAACGUCCGCCUGGGGCGCCGCCUGCUCCGUUCCCUGGGGCACCCCCACAACAGUUCAUGAGGGGUCCCCCGCCGAUGGGGCCGCCUCAGAUCAGGCCCGGGAUGCCGGGUCCUCCACACCCUGGAAUGAGGCCUGGGAUGCCUCCGCCGCCGUUCGGACAGCCGAGGCCAGGGAUGCCGCCCCCGCCACCUGGCCCGCAGCAGCCUGGACAGAACCCGCCGCAGUAGCCUCUUACCUGGUACUGCCAUUAUGAUCACGUGGAAGCAAUUUUCGUUUGCCCACUUACAGGAUAAGUGAAUUUGCUUGCUGCUCUCGUACCACUAUACUUAUAAACCCCUUUUGUUUUAUAACUUCUGAUUUGAAUUUCUACAUACAAGUGCAGUUUGCAAAUGCUACUUCGAAAUUUCAUUGUUUGAUGCUGACAUUCUACUAAAUUAGUGGAUGCUGGUUGUUUUAGUUUGCUCCUAGAUAACUUAUUAUUUACAUUUGUAAUGUUUGGAGGAACAACAUGGAAAGAAAGAGUAUAGCUGUUAUUGUGGUUUCAUAAAGGUGCUCUAUUUCUGCCUUUUGUUUUUCGGCAGGGUGUACCAUGCAAUUUCAUGGAAAAGUAUGAGGAACUUUUGGUAUCAUUCAUGUGGUUGAACAGGAAUUGUGGAGUACUAAUAUAAUUAACUAUGAUAUGAAACAAUGCUAGGUCGUUGGGGAUACUUUUUCAUAUACUUUUGAUUUGAAUGAAACUGAGCAAAGAAGUUUAUUCUUCUUGGCAUAGUAGCUUAUCUUGCAUUUCAGCAAUAGCUUUUCUUCACUAAAGCUACUUUGGAUUAUUAGUUAGUAGAUCCUUAUGUGAUCACAAUUUAGCAUGUUAGGACGUAGGUCAGCUCUUUGAUUUAGUUUGUCAGUUCUCCAACACAUAGAAAUCUAAUGUUUGUCCGCAUUAGCAUUUAUUACCCACCUUGUUUAUUAUCACAGUGCUGUGCCAUUUUAGUAUUUGAAAUACAGUUUCUUAUAAGUAAUUUAUAUGCAUUAUGGAUAACUGACAGCUGCCCGUGUUUAUUGUAACCUUGUCAAUCUCUCCUGAAUAUGUGCAGCUGUCACGCUUAUCUGUGCUGAUAUAUCUUCUGUCCAAGUGUGUUAGGGCACUCCCAAUGGAGUAUUAAUGGUGCAAUCUUGGAGACGCACUAUGGAAGAUUUUCCUAUCGCGAGAAAGGAUCGUAAUCGCGCCUUGGAAGACCUGUGGAAUUCCAAGUAGUUUCGUUUUGGUAUUGUGAGAGAAGAGAACCUUGUUAGCGUGUACUAAUCAUCCUUUGAUGUGACUUGUGAGGGGACUUUUGUUCUGAUGCAAUGUACGUAAAGAGGCGAGGGCCUGUUUUAACUGUUUGGAUGUUAAGUUAGGAAAUAUGGAUAGCUUGUUUCAUCAUGUCUGAAGUCUGAACCCCUUUGGCUAAGUACCGGAUGGACGUGUACUGCCCUCGUCUUGUUAUUUCGGCGACUCAAUCUAGGAUAAUCGACUUGCCUAUCAGUUUAUUCAA